AGCGGACGCUGGCGGCAGGCCUAACACAUGCCAGUCGAACGAACUCUUCGGAGUUAGUGGCGGACGGGUGAGUAACACGUGGGAACGUGCCUUUUGGUUCGGAAUAACUCAGGGAAACUUGUGCUAAUACCGAAUGUGCCCUUCGGGGGAAAGAUUUAUCGCCAUUAGAGCGGCCCGCGUCUGAUUAGCUAGUUGGUGAGGUAACGGCUCACCAAGGCGACGAUCAGUAGCUGGUCUGAGAGGAUGACCAGCCACACUGGGACUGAGACACGGCCCAGACUCCUACGGGAGGCAGCAGUGGGGAAUCUUGCGCAAUGGGCGAAAGCCUGACGCAGCCAUGCCGCGUGAAUGAUGAAGGUCUUAGGAUUGUAAAAUUCUUUCACCGGGGACGAUAAUGACGGUACCCGGAGAAGAAGCCCCGGCUAACUUCGUG
rnacentral:rRNA from 1 species